GAUCACGCAGGGUGGCUGGGGACGCCUGGGAGCGGCGCCAUUCAAGUCUCAGGUUCGUCACAGCUCGGGUCACCGCUUGGGUCAGCGGUGCGAGAGCAGUGAUGUAAAUCUGGGCAGAGCCCUGAAACAACAAGACGGGAAACGAGACCAAUUUGUACACCACAGAGCACAACGGCACUGGGGGAACGGCUGUGCGCCCCUUAUUAACCUCGGGAGCACAGGCGCCCCUGUCGCCCUCUGGCUGGGCCCACAGAGAGCGGUGCUCACGCGGUCCACUUACAAUGCUCCCGAGGGUUUCGGUUCCCUGUCACCGAGCCCGUGCUGGUGGGUGCAGCUGGGACCCAACGCCCUUCGUACAUCGACCACAGGCAGGGCAGCCACCGCUGCUGCUGCUGCAGAGAAGGGAAGUGAGGGACAAUCUGACGUCCACACCGGCGACUCACUCCACCUUCUACCCCCACGAGCACAGCGAAGGCCAGGAAACUUAAAGGACAGGUGUGGGGAUCGAGGCCGAGCAAACCCCGAUCGUGCCUGAGCUCUUCCAAAAGCACCCAAAAGCUCAGCGGGAAGAGAAAAGAAACACCGUGCUAAAGAGCGCUGGCCAUCACGGUGCCGCUCUCACCAGGACAAGCGGAGACCUGGAUUUACGUCAGUGCUGUGAAAAGGACUCGGGAAGACGAUCCACCCGUCACAACCUCUGUGCGGGGACAGGAGCGCCAGAGACCACCGAGCGCGCCCUGUGUGGGGCACCGGGGCAGCCACCUGAGUCAAACUCAUCCUCAGGGCUCCGGGCAGGACUGCGAGGGAAUUCUCAGCCUCAUGACGAGGAUUUUGUUGUUCUUGUCAUUUUUUGUCUAGAAAAAUAAUAAAGUGACCAAAAGCUCCUGUAUGUGAAUGAUACCUCCGUGGGUGAUUUGGUUCUUUUUAAACUUUGCUCAAAUAUUUUGGGACAGUUCUUUUUAUGUUUCAAGGAAAAC